AGUGAACGCUGGCGGUAGGCCUAAUACAUGCAAGUCGAACGGAAGCAUAGUAAGAGCUUGCUCUUACGGGUGGCGAGUGGCGGACGGGUGAGGAAUACAUCGGCAUCUACUUUUUCGUGGGGGAUAACGUAGGGAAACUUACGCUAAUACCGCAUACGACCUACGGGUGAAAGCAGGGGAUCUUCGGACCUUGCGCGAUUGAAUGAGCCGAUGUCGGAUUAGCUAGUUGGCGGGGUAAAGGCCCACCAAGGCGACGAUCCGUAGCUGGUCUGAGAGGAUGAUCGGCCACACUGGAACUGAGACACGGUCCAGACUCCUACGGGAGGCAGCAGUAGGGAAUAUUCGACAAUGGGCGCAAGCCUGAUCCAGCCAUACCGCGUGAGUGAAGAAGGUCUUCGGGUUGUAAAGCCCUGUUGUUGGGAAAGAAAAGCAGUAGGUGAAUACCCCGCUGUUCUGACGGUACCCAAAGAAUAAGCACCGGCUAACUUCGUG
rnacentral:rRNA from 1 species